GUAGGUGCAUACCUCUAGCAUGAAGUCAGACAAGUGAACCCGCUGAA
rnacentral:rRNA from 1 species